rnacentral:piRNA from 1 species
ACUGGAGACAUCUGAGAGUGUCCGGAGUG